rnacentral:tRNA from 1 species
UCGCUGGUGGCUCAGUGGUAGAACUCUCACCUUCCAUGUGGGAGACCUGGAUUCGAUUCCCAGCCAAUGCA